UUCCCUGGUGGCGCAGUGGUUAGAAAGCAGUACUGCAGGCUAAUUCUACUCAUUGCCAGGAGUUUGAUCCUGACCGACUGGCUCAAGGUUGACUCAGCCUUCUGUCCUUCCGAGGUCGGUAAAAUGAGGACCCAGAUUGUUGGGGGCAAGAGGAUGACUCUGUAAACCCCUUAGAGAGGGCUGUGAAACUCUGUGAAGCCUAAGUGCUAUUGCUCUGGCUCUUCCCCAGGAAGCUGUAUUUCGCCCAGUCACAAAAGCCUCCGUACCACAGCCGAGUCUGCCUGGCACCCCCAGGCUGCCUCCUCAGCUCCAGCCCAGAUGGACCCAAUAAAGGAUACUUAUUCGUGCCAAGCGAGAGAGCCUCUUCCAGAUCUAGGUUCUCUAUCACGUCAGGAUUCAACCCUUGCCGGAACGGCAACUGCGGGAAGCCUGCCGUGCGUCCGCUGGUGGACACGGGCGCCAUGGUUUUCGUGGUGUUUGGGAUCCUUGGAGUCAACCGUACCCGGCACACCGACAACCACGUCAUUGGAGACAUGGUGCGUGUCCUUUCCUGGGGUCUGUGGGGCUGGAAGAGCCUCCCCAGGUCGGGUCUCGCUUACAUGUCCUCUUCGCCACUUGUAUCUCCUUUGGAAAGGGUAGCGUCAUCUAUGACAGCAGCUUCGACCUGUUCAAAGAAAUCGGCAACCUGUGCCAGAUCUGUAAGGCCAUCGCCAGCAACGCUGAGCUGGUCAAGCCAGGAGGAGCUCAGUGCCUCCCUUCAGGUUACAGUGUCUCCUCUGUCCUUCAGAUGCUACACCCAGAGUGUAAGAACCUCCCUGAGCCCAAUCUGCUUCCCGGACAGCUCUCCCACGGGAUGGUGGGGGUGA
rnacentral:lncRNA from 1 species